rnacentral:rRNA from 1 species
CAGGCCUAACACAUGCAAGUCGAACGGUGGCACCAAUGUCCCACUGGCGCACUGGUGCGUAACACGUAGCUGGCCUACCCAGAACUGGGGGAUAGCCCGCCGACAGGCGGAUUACCACCGCAUAACAUCUACUGGUGGCAUCACUAGUUGAUUAAAUCUACGGAGGUUCUGGAUGGGGCUGCGGGUCAUUAUCUAUUUGGUAAGGUAACGGCUUACCAAGGCCACCAUCACUAGGGGAGCUGACAGGCUGGUCCCCCACACGGGCACUGAAAUACGGGCCCUAGUCCUACGGGAUGCAUCACUAUGGAAUAUUGGGCAAUGGGCGAGAGCCUGACCCACCCAUGCCGCGUGCACGAAGAAGGCUUUCUGAGUCGUCACCUGCUUCUGAUAGGGAACAAUAAGCCCCACCUGUCCUGUGAUGACAGCACCUACACAAUAAGCACCGGCUAACUCCGUGCCACCAGCCGCGGUACU